UGUAAAUAUUGUGUUUAUGUUUUUUAAUUUUAUUAUGUAUUUUAUUGUUGAAAUAUAUAUAUUUUUUUUAUGAAUUCGAAUGAAGAAUUGACUGAUAUGAUUCACCUAUAGAAAAGCGGAUAGACAUUGUUAUAAGAAAAAAUUAUAUAUCACAAAAAUUUCCUUUUCAGAGAAUUCCUAAUGAAAAAAUAUUUCAGAAAGUAAUUGAACGUUUAAGGAAUUUUACAUGGGAAUUUUAUAAAAAAAUUCUAUUAAUAUAGAAAUGUUCAAAACAUUAAGAACUUUCAGAAGAAGCAAUACUUCGGAAUAGAAGAAAACUCAAAUUCUAAUACUAGAGAAAUAUUAAGAAAAGAAGGAAUUAAUCAUAUCUCGAUAUGGCAAAUAUUGAAAGAAAAUGGUUUAUAUACUAUUAUCAUCAGAAAGUGCAAGAGUUAAUUCCUGCCGUAAUUAUGUAUGAAGAUUAUUAUUUUGUUCAGAAAUAUGAAGAAAAUAUAAUGAUAAUAUAAAUUUUAUUAAACAUAUAUUAUUUACGAAUGAAACCAUCUUCACAAGAGAAGAUAUUUAAUACAUACAUGGCAAUUCCCCAUUCUAUAAUAAAUCGAAAUUUUAAAAGCAAUUUUCGAUAAAUAUAUAGCUAAGUAUAUUAAACAAUAAAUUAAUAGAGUCACAUUUCUUGCCACGGUUAACUGGAAAAUAUAUGCAAGAUUUUUAAAAGAAGAAUUGAUAGCUCUUCUUGAGAAGAAAAUUUAAAUACAUCAUAAAAUGCAUAAUUUAUGCAUGAUGGAGCAUUGGUUCAUUUUUGUACUAAUGUCACGAAUUUUAAGUGAAAAGUUUAACAACAGACAUAUCGGUUGUGGAAGACCAAUAGAGGCUACCAAAAUCGCCUGAUUUAAAUCUGCUAGACUUGAAGAUCCGCAUUUACUUGAAGAAUUUAUUUUACUGUAAAAAUCAAAAGUGAAAAUAUUUUAAAAAGAAGAAUAGUUACUGAACAUGAAAAUAUAAAAAAUAACUCAAGAUAAAUAAGAAGAAUUAAAAAAAAAAUUUAUAAAAAGAAUAUCAUUAUGUAUGAAAGAAAGUGGUCAACAUUUUUAAACAAAGUUUUGAACAUAUGAUAGAAAAUUUAAAAAGAUGAAAUGGAAUUCUACGAACGCAUGAUAAGCAAAUAGUAUGAAGAAAUGCAUGAUAAAGAAAUUAAACAGAUAAACAUUUAGAGAUCUAUAAUGGGCACUCUAUUGGAUUUCCACAACCGAUCCAUCUGUCCUUAAAUUUUUUACUUAAAAUUUUCUGACUACAAAAAUGAACUGGUGUUUCAUCAUGCAUAAAUAUAUUAAAUAUAUUAAAAGUAAAUUCUAAACA